rnacentral:tRNA from 1 species
UUGGCUAUAGCUCAGCUGGGAGAGCGCCUGCUUUGCACGCAGGAGGUCUGCGGUUCGAUCCCGCAUAGCUCCACCA